rnacentral:misc_RNA from 1 species
CCCUAAUAAAGUCUUUCUUCUUCGCAUUUUUCCAGGGCAAUAGAACGAGAGAGCAUGUCAGCCUCCUCGACUCAUUUGAUGCUCUACUGUUUAUUCCUCAAAGCCUAAAAGCAUAGCUGAUUCACUUCGAGAAUUUCGGUGAGUAUCCUCCAAUGUUUGGUAUUUUCUGUUCAAGAUUUGCUUUGAAUAAGCGUCUUUCCCUGUUGCUCUCAAAUGCCCAACUGGGUGUUCUUUCUUUUUACUCAUCAUUCGUAAUCAGAUCCUUUUCGUCUUCCACAUCUUCUAAUUUGAAUGAGCAUUCAUUUGUAGUCUCAUAUCUCAUAAAUUCAUGUGGAUUAAACCUAAAAUCUGCUCAAUCUAUCUCAAAGAGGAUAUGUUUUGAAACCACUGAAAGACCAGACUCUGUACUUAGGCUUCUCUUCUCAGGGAACAUGGAUUCACCAAUUCCCAAAUCUGCAAAAUUGUUAGGAGUCGACCCAAGGUGCUUCUAGCGAAACCAGAAAAGACACUCUUACCCAAGUUUGAGUUUCUGCGUUCUUUAGGGGUUUCAAGGUCAGACAUGGCCAUAAUUUUUUCUAGGAACCCAUUUUUGUUGGCUCGGAGUAUAGAGCGAUAUCUGAUCCCACGUUGUGAGGU